UACAGAGGGUGCGAGCGUUAAUCGGAAUUACUGGGCGUAAAGGGUGCGUAGGUCGCCUAUCAAGUCAGAUGUGAAAGCCCCGGGCUUAACCUGGGAACGGCAUUUGAUACUAGUAGGCUUGAGUGCAGUAGAGAGAAGCGGAAUUUCCGGUGUAGCGGUGAAAUGCGUAGAUAUCGGAAGGAACACCAGUGGCGAAAGCGGCUUCUUGGACUGUUACUGACACUGAGGCACGAAAGCGUGGGGAGCAAACAGG
rnacentral:rRNA from 1 species